GAGACAGCAUCGCCGCGGGAAUACAGAGGAUGCAAGCGUUAUCCGGAAUGAUUGGGCGUAAAGUGUCUGUAGGUGGCUUUUCAAGUCCGCCGUCAAAUCCCAGGGCUCAACCCUGGACAGGCGGUGGAAACUACCAAGCUGGAGUAUGGUAGGGGCAGAGGGAAUUUCCGGUGGAGUGGUGAAAUGCGUUGAGAUCGGAAAGAACACAAAUGGCGAAAGCACUCUGCUGGGCCGACACUGACACUGAGAGACGAAAGCUAGGGGAGCAAAUGGGAUUAGAUACCCCCGUAGUCCCUGUCUCUUAUACA
rnacentral:rRNA from 1 species